rnacentral:rRNA from 1 species
GACGAACGCUGGCGGCGUGCUUAACACAUGCAAGUCGAACGAAGUGGCGAACGGGUGAGUAACGCGUAAUCAACCUGCCCUUCAGAGGGGGCCAACAGUUGGAAACGACUGCUAAUACCGCAUACUGAAGGAGGGGAUUGCGUCUGAUUGGCUAGUGGGGGGGGAAACGGCCCACCAAGGGGAUGAUCAGUAGCCGGUCUGAGGUGAGGAACGGCCAAAUGGGGACUGAGAACCGGCCCAGACUCCUACGGGAGGCAGCAGUGGGGAAUCUUCCGCAAUGGAGGAAAGUCUGACGGAGCAACGUCGCGUGAGUGAUGACGGCCUUCGGGUUGUAAAGCUCUGUUAAUCGGGACGCGGUACCGGAAUAGAAAGCCACGGCUAACUACGUGCCAGCAGCCGCGGUAAUUC